rnacentral:misc_RNA from 1 species
UCCGGUUCCUCACCGGCAGUCCCCUUAGAGUCCCCCACUUAAGGCUGGCAACUAAGGGCAAGGGUUGCGCUCGUUACGGGACUUAACCCAACAUCUCACAACACGAGCUGACGACAGCCAUGCAGCACCUGUCUCUGCGCUCCUUUCGGCACAAAAGCCUCUCAGCUUCCUUCGCAGGAUGUCAAGGGUAGGUAAGGUUCUUCGCGUUGCAUCGAAUUAAACCACAUGCUCCACCGCUUGUGCGGGCCCCCGUCAAUUCAUUUGAGUUUCAACCUUGCGGCCGUACUUCCCAGGCGGAAGACUUAUCGCGUUUGCUUCAAUACUGAUAGGUUCCCCUACCAACAUUUAGUCCUCAUCGUUUACAGCGUGGACUAC